rnacentral:rRNA from 1 species
UACAGAGGUGGCAAGCGUUGUUCGGAAUUACUGGGCGUAAAGGGCGCGUAGGCGGUCUUGUAAGUCUUGUGUGAAAUCCCUCGGCUCAACUGAGGAACUGCACGGGAUACUGCGAGACUUGAGUUCGGGAGAGGGAAGCGGAAUUCCGGGUGUAGCGGUGAAAUGCGUAGAUAUCCGGAGGAACACCGGUGGCGAAGGCGGCUUCCUGGACCGAUCACUGACGCUGAGGCGCGAAAGCUAGGGGAGCAAA